CCUUCACGAUUCACUGUUCAUCUUUUGCUUCCUUUUUACGUAACUCUGAAAAGNCUUUUCAGAGUUACGUAAAAAGGAAGCAAAAGAUGAACAGUGAAUCGUGAAGGAUGCGCAAGAAAUAUGAAACGUGAUUUGGU
rnacentral:sRNA from 1 species